GCCCACUGAUGAGAUCAUGGCACCUUUAAUGAUCCAGUCAGACCAAGAGGUUGUUGUCUCUAGCUUGCUGUUAGAUGGGUAGUCUUGGAAGUGUAAUGGAGUUUUACUACACUGCUGUAAGGGCCCAUCAAAAGUAAACCUGUCACCUUCUUUUACCCCUGACCCCCCAAGAGUAAUGGGAUGGGACAGGCAGGAGAUGUCAAACAGUGUGUGUGUGUCAGUUUGCAAGAGGCUAUAGUCUCAAAAAAGUUGGUUUGGUGGGUAUGAACUACUCUUUUGGUAAUCUGAGGGCA